rnacentral:rRNA from 1 species
GUUUCAGCAGCCGCGGUAAUACAGAGGUGGCAAGCGUUGUUCGGAAUUACUGGGCGUAAAGGGCGCGUAGGCGGCCAUCUAAGUCAGACGUGAAAUCCCCCGGCUCAACCUGGGAACUGCGUCUGAUACUGGAAGGCUAGAGUUUGGGAGAGGGAUGUAGAAUUCCAGGUGUAGCGGUGAAAUGCGUAGAUAUCUGGAGGAAUACCGGUGGCGAAGGCGGCAUCCUGGACCAAUACUGACGCUGAGGCGCGAAAGCUAGGGGAGCAAACGGGAUUAGAAACCCGUGUAGUCC